rnacentral:rRNA from 1 species
CAAAAACAUAGCUAUAUGAAAUUAUAUAUAGUUUUUUCUGCUCAAUGAGAUAUUGAAUAGCCGCAGUACCCUGACUGUGCAAAGGUAGCAAAAUCAAUUGGCUUCUAAUUAAAGUCGUGAAUGAAUGAAUGCAUGGGGGCAAGCUUUACCAUAUGUAUUAUGUAAACUUACUAAGUGAGUGUAAAUUCUCACAAGUUUAGAAUAGACGAGAAGACCCUAGAAAUUUUUAGAAUUUUUUUGUGGGGGCAACAUAGUAGCAAAUAACCUAUUUCAUGUAUAUGAAAAUUUUAUGACAAAUUAAAUUACUCUAGGGAUAACAGCAUAAUAUUGAAAUGUUUGUGACCUCGAUGUUGGAUUAGGACGUUGUGGCUUAGGAGGUCUACAAUCGUGCUCUGUUCGAG